GGCGGCGUGGAUAAGACAUGCAAGUCGAACGCUGACUUUAGGGUAGCAAUAUUCUGAAGUCGGAGUGGCGCAAGGGUGCGUAACACGUGGGUAAUUUGCCGUGAAGUUUGGGAUAACUUGCUGAAAGGCGAGCUAAUACCGGAUGUGAAUUCUUGAAGGCAUCUUUGGGAAUUCAAAGUUGGGGACCGCAAGGCCUGACGCUUUACGAUAAGCCCGCGGCCUAUCAGCUAGUUGGUGAGGUAACGGCUCACCAAGGCUAAGACGGGUAGCUGGUCUGAGAGGACGACCAGCCUCACUGGAACUGAGACACGGUCCAGACACCUACGGGUGGCAGCAGUCGAGAAUUUUUCUCAAUGGGCGAAAGCCUGAAGGAGCGACGCCGCGUGGGGGAUGAAUGGCUUCGGCCCGUAAACCCCUGUCAUUUGUGAACAAAUUGCUUCACCUAACACGUGAAGCAUUGAUUGUAACGGAAGAGGAAGGGACGGCUAACUCUGUGCCAGCAGCCGCGGUAAUACAGAGGUCCCAAGCGUUGUUCGGAUUCACUGGGCGUAAAGGGUGCGUAGGCGGUUUGAUAAGUCUGAUGUGAAAUCCCGCAGCUUAACUGCGGAACUGCAUUGGAAACUAUUUGACUA
rnacentral:rRNA from 1 species